AGCAGCCGCGGUAAUUCCUGCUCCAAUAGCGUAUAUUAAAGUUGUUGCAGUUAAAAGCUCGUAGUUGAAUUUCGGGGUUAGUAGGUUGGUCAUGCCUCUGGUAUGUACUGGUCUCACUGAUUCCUCCUUCCUGAUGAACCUUAAUGCCAUUAAUUUGGUGUUUUGGGGAAUUUGGACUGUUACUUUGAAAAAUUAGAGUGUUUAAAGCAAGCUAACGCUUGAAUACAUUAGCAUGGAAUAAUGAAAUAGGACGUUCGAUCCUAUUUUGUUGGUUUCUAGGAUUGACGUAAUGAUUAAUAGGGAUAGUUGGGGGCAUUAGUAUUCAAUUGUCAGAGGUGAAAUUCCUGGAUUUAUUGAAGACUAACUACUGCGAAAGCAUUUGCCAAGGAUGUUUUCAUUAAUCAAGAACGAAAGUUAGGGAUCGAAGACGAUCAGAUACCGUCGUAGUCUUAACCAUAAACUAUGCCGACUAGGGAUCGGAUGAUGUUAAUUUUUUAAUGUACUCAUUCGGCGCCUUACG
rnacentral:misc_RNA from 1 species